GACAGAAUUUGGACAGGAAACUAAAUCCACUUAUGAAAUGUUUCCUUUCUGCUUCUAAUUCUCAGGUGUCCUACAUUAGUCAAGACUGUGAAGAAAUUCCAGAAUUCCUAGGACGAAAAUAUGGACAUAUGGCAAAAAGGCUAGAUCUUAGCUUCAACUUGUUAAGAUAGAGAGCUCUGAUGCUUAGAGUACCUAUUGUGUCUCUACUGCAGGGAUUGCUUUCUCCUUGGUAAAAUCGUGUUGAAGCCAGAUGGAUCACUGUUACUUUGUAGAUGUGUACACUCC
rnacentral:lncRNA from 1 species